UUUUUUUUUUUUUUGAGGUUUUUUUAGCUGAUUGCACUGAGAGGGCCAGUCCAAAUAUCAUGGGCCCACACACAAAGCCUUGAGAAACGACAAAAGAUGACGCCGUUAACUGCGCCGGCAGGACGACGAAGGUCACACGGUAAAAAAUCAUGCGGUUGCGGUUGCGGUUGCGAAUCGUUCAUAACGCCGACCAAAACGCAGCGGAUCCACACCCAAUGAUUUGCUGAGGUAACACGAUUUUCGCUCCUGUGUGAAGUGUGAUGCUCUGAACAUAGACCGUAUGCCAAUAUCACUGUAUGUCAUGUCGCGCCGAAGGUUCAGUCUUCAUGCUUUUGUGAAACUGAAUUUUGUAGUACUGUCGCGCCGAAGGUUCGGUCUUCAUGCUUUUGUGAAACUGAAUUUUGUAGUACUGUCGUGCCAAAGGUUCAGUCUACAAGACGGAUCAAUAACAAAUAGUUAGAGAUUGGAGUACAUGAUACAUCCGCAUCCGCAAAUCCGUCAUUUGUUUGACGCGCCCGGACGCGCCCGCGGACAUUAACCUUCACGUCUCAAAUUUUCCAUCUCAUAAUCGGACACCUCGAUUAACAUACUUCAAAUCCAUACAAACUCAUGCAACUAUGUAAACGACGCAUUACACAUAUCGUCCGGCUACUACAUCAAGACAUUGACAUCUGACUACCAAAAAAUGCAUGUUUAACCUACAUGCUAGCUAUGAAGAAGCUCAUCCACGGCUGCCCUUGCCCUUCCCGGCUUCCUUGCCGUCCUGCUCGCGGAAGUAGCGGUCAAAGACGCGGUAUUGAUCGAGCCAGAUCUGCUCAUCGCCGGAGCUACUCAACCUGCCGUUGUCCUCCUUCUUCUGGGGGGCAGUCCGGCCAUGGCACGAAUCACCCAAUUCCGCUCUCAGACAAGGGCACGCGCGUUCCUCCGUUGCCGCUUUUUUAGAAUGUGUGCGCGGAUGGCUUCCUCCUCUACGGCAGCUCGCGCCGCCGCAUCAGUCGCCGCCACAUCAGCCGCCUCCGCUGCCACCAUCUCGGCAACUAGUCCGGCCUCGGCGACCCUCAUCCUAUCCUUCCCAUGGCAGGCACACCGGUCCUAGUAGGACUCAUACUCCGGCGGACCGGUGAUGGGGAAAGGGAUAUUGGAAGGCUCCCGAGAGGACCGCGAUGAUCCAGCUUCAGAGGAUCUGAGCGCCCGAUGCGUCGAUGCAAUGGACUUGCGCUGGACAGAUCCCGCCUCGGUCGGUUGAUGUCCUCCUAGGAGCACUGGAGUGCAAUGCAGACACAAUUGCCUCCUCCAGACCACAAAGACGACCCCCCACCCCCCACCCCCCAGUCGACGAUCCGUAUUGGUCGUCAGGAUCCACUCCCCACCAUGCAGGAAAGGCCGGAGAUCAUCGGAAGGGAGCUUGGGUGGCGGAGGGGAGUGGAGUGAAGUGGCUAGGGUUUCAUCCGGGGAGCGGAUCAAAAGGAACAGGGUGGGCCAGCGUGGGGCGGGUCCGAUAUGGUGGACGCGCUCUGGUCUCCCCGUAUCCGUCUCAUAUUUGGGCUAAAUAUGAGGGUUGUCGAUCAGCCCGAGCGUUUGAGGCGCGCGGUUGAAUGUGGUUUUUUUUUACUGGUUACUGAAUGGGCCGUCCGCCCGGGCGUAUGUGAGGGGUUUGAGGCACGGACUGUAGAUGUUCUGACUCCCUGCAAAUGAAGUAAAGCAUCAACAUAUAUACCGCCCCUCUUUUAGGCAUAGUUUCUUCUUCAUCGUUUUCUUUUCUUUUAGGAGUAAGACACGCAUUACAUUUGCAUUGUCACACCUUCCUUACAAGCAAUAUUCCAUAAUUGGCUAGGCACAUUUUCGAGUGUGAUAUGAUUUCCAAACAUUCUUGGAUGUGCUACUAGUGUGUCUCACUGGACUACCAGUUUUAAAAAGGUCACCAAAAGCUAUAACUUUUCUUCUAAUUUUGUUCAAAGAAAACUACCGAAAACAAUUGAUGACCGCUUUAGACGAUGUAAACACGCUUAUGACAAGCAGGACCCACCCAUCAGGGCUGACGUGGCAAGAAAGUCAAUGCUCGUUUAUUUUGACCGCUAAAUUGAUCGUUAUUAUAGGUAGGUCUCACACGUCAGCAUCAACCUUCUUCCUUCUCCCCUCUAUAUCUAUUUGGCAUUUCAACAAACACCUCAUGUGCAUCAAUGAGCACCACUGCAUCGCCACCGGUGAUGAGCUCUCCGUCCACCAAGAACACCAAGGAGUUGGGCCUGUUGGCCAUGGCUGACCAUGAGCUGCUCCGAGAGCUCAUCCAGAAAGUCAUGAACAAGAAGGUCCACCUCGUCUUCCCGCCCAACAAGAACGAGCACUUCGGUGCCAGCGCGAGCAUCGAGAAGGAGGACCCUCGCUUGUUGAUGCCGCCGCAGUCCAGGGGCUUCUCACUGACCUAUAGAGGUCGGCGUCGUCGUCAGCACGGCGACCAUGGAGCGACCGACCACCACCAUCAGUAGUAGGGUCUUGGCUGGAACAGGAGCGUCGCGGCCACGUUAGUGGGGAACCAGUGGCAGCUGGGUUUUGGCUGGAGCUGGAACAGCGGCAGCCUCACCGGGGGUUGGAGGGACGGGUUCUUGUUGGAUCCUGGUUGUCGUCACCUCACUGGCCGAAUCGAGCGACAGUGCGGUGUCAGGAGGAGAGGCAUGUUGGGGAACGUAGCAGAAAUUCAAAAUUUUCCUACGUGUCACCAAGAUCUAUCUAUGGAGAGACCAGCAACGAGGGGAAGGAGAGUGCAUCUACAUACCCUUGUAGAUCGCUAAGCGGAAGCGUUCAUGAGAACGGGGUUGAAGGAGUCGUACUCGUCGUGAUCCAAAUCACCGGAGAUCCUAGUGCCGAACGGACGGCACCUCCGCGUUCAACACACGUACAGCCCGGUGACGUCUCCCACGCCUUGAUCCAGCAAGGAGAGAGGGAGAGGUUGAGGAAGACUCCGUCCAGCAGCAGCACAACGGCGUGGUGGUGGUGGAGGAGCGUGGCAAUNNNNNNNNNNNNNNNNNNNNNNNNNNNNNNNNNNNNNNNNNNNNNNNNNNNNNNNNNNNNNNNNNNNNNNNNNNNNNNNNNNNNNNNNNNNNNNNNNNNNNNNNNNNNNNNNNNNNNNNNNNNNNNNNNNNNNNNNNNNNNNNNNNNNNNNNNNNNNNNNNNNNNNNNNNNNNNNNNNNNNNNNNNNNNNNNNNNNNNNNNNNNNNNNNNNNNNNNNNNNNNNNNNNNNNNNNNNNNNNNNNNNNNNNNNNNNNNNNNNNNNNNNNNNNNNNNNNNNNNNNNNNNNNNNNNNNNNNNNNNNNNNNNNNNNNNNNNNNNNNNNNNNNNNNNNNNNNNNNNNNNNNNNNNNNNNNNNNNNNNNNNNNNNNNNNNNNNNNNNNNNNNNNNNNNNNNNNNNNNNNNNNNNNNNNNNNNNNNNNNNNNNNNNNNNNNNNNNNNNNNNNNNNNNNNNNNNNNNNNNNNNNNNNNNNNNNNNAGAGGAGGAGGAGGAAGAAGAGAUGCAGGGCUGCACCAACGAGAGGGAGAAGUUCUCAUCUAUUGGGUUGCUCCAAAAAAACCUCCAAUAUAUAUAGGGGAAGGGGAGGGCUGCGCCCCCUCUAGGGUUUCCACCCCCUAGGGGUGGCGGCCAGCCCUAGAUGGGUUUUGGGGGGGGGGGGGCGGCCAAGAGGGGAGAGAGGGGAGGCGCCCACUAGGUGGGCCUUAAGGCCCAUCUGGACUAGGGUUUGCCCCCUCCCACUCCUCCUUGCGCCUUGGGCCCCUUGUGGGGGGGCGCACCAGCCCACCUAGGGGCUGGUCCCCUCCCACACUUGGCCCACGCAGCCUUCUGGGGCAGGUGGCCCCACUUGGUGGACCCCCGGGACCCUCCCGGUGGUCCCGGUACAUUACCGAUAUCGCCCGAAACUUUUCCGGUGACCAAAACAGGACUUCUCAUAUAUAAAUCUUUACCUCUGGACCAUUCCGGAACUCCUCGUGACGUCCGGGAUCUCAUCCGGGACUCCGAACAACAUUCAGUAACCACAUACAAGCUUCCUUUAUAACCCUAGCGUCACCGAACCUUAAGUGUGUAGACCCUACGGGUUCGGGAGACAUGCAGACAUGACCGAGACGUUCUCCGGUCAAUAACCAACAGCGGGAUCUGGAUACCCAUGUUGGCUCCCACAUGUUCCACGAUGAUCUCAUCGGAUGAACCACGAUGUCAAGGACUCAAUCGAUCCCGUAUACAAUUCCCUUUGUCUAGCGGUAUUGUACUUGCCCGAGAUUCGAUCGUCGGUAUACCGAUACCUUGUUCAAUCUCGUUACCGGCAAGUCUCUUUACUCGUUCCAUAACACAUCAUCCCGUGAUCAACUCCUUGAUCACAUUGUGCACAUUAUGAUGAUGUCCUACCGAGUGGGCCCGGAGAUACCUCUCCAUUUACACGGAGUGACAAAUCCCAGUCUCGAUUCGUGCCAACCCAACAGACACUUUCGGAGAUACCUGUAAUGCACCUUUAUAGCCACCCAGUUACGUUGUGACAUUUGGUACACCCAAAGCAUUCCUACGGUAUCCGGGAGUUGCACAAUCUCAUGGUCUAAGGAAAAGAUACUUGACAUUAGAAAAGCUUUAGCAUACGAACUACACGAUCUGUGCUAGGCUUAGGAUUGGGUCUUGUCCAUCACAUCAUUCUCCUAAUGAUGUGAUCCCGUUAUCAAUGACAUCCAAUGUCCAUGGUCAGGAAACCGUAACCAUCUAUUGAUCAACGAACUAGUCAACUAGAGGCUUACUAGGGACAUGGUGUUGUCUAUGUACCCACACAUGUAUCUGAGUUUCCUAUCAAUACAAUUAUAGCAUGGAUAAUAAACGAUUAUCAUGAACAAGGAAAUAUAAUAAUAACUAAUUUAGUAUUGCCUCUAGGGCAUAUUUCCAACAGUCUCCCACUUGCACUAGAGUCAAUAAUCUAGUUCACAUCGUCAUGUGAUUAACGCUGAUAGGUCACAUCGCCAUGUGACCAACAUCCAAAGAGUUUACUAGUGUCUGUAAACUAGUUCACAUCAUCAUGUGAUUAAGACUCAAUGAGUUCUCAGGUUUGAUCAUGUUUUGCUUGUGAGAGAGGUUUUUAGUCAUCGGGUCUGAACCUUUCAGAUCCGUGUGUGCUUUGCAAAUUUCUAGGUCAUAUUGUAAACGCUGCUUCCACGCUCCACUUGGAUCUAUUCCAAAUGGUUGCUCCACUAUACGUAUCCGGUUUGCUACUCAGAGUCACUCGGAUAGGUGUUAAAGCCUGCAUUGGCGUAACCCUUUACGCCGAACUCUUUAUCACCUCCAUAAUCGAGAAACAUGUCCUUAUUUACUCCAAGGAAAAUUUUGACCGCUGUCCAAUGAUCCAUUCCUGGAUCAUUCUUGUACCCCUUGACUGACUCAUGGCAAGGCACACUUCCGGUGCGGUACACAGCAUAGCAUACUAUAGAGCCUAUGUCUGAAGCAUAGGGGACGACCUUCAUCCUUUCUCUCUCUUCUGCCGUGGUCGAGCUUUAACUCUUAACUUAAUACCUUACAACUCAGGCAAGAACUCCUUCUUUGACUGAUCCAUCUUGAACACCUUCAAGAUCAUGUCAAGGUAUGUGCUCAUUUGAAAGUAUUAUUAAGCAUUUUGAUCUAUCCUUAUAGAUCUCGAUGCUCAAUGUUCAAGUAGCUUAAUCCAGGUUUUCUAUUGAAAAACAUCUUUCAAAUAACCCUAUAUGCUUUCCAGAAAUUCUACAUCAUUUCUGAUCAUCAAUAUGUCAACAACAUACACUCAUCAGAAAUUCUAUAGUGCUCCCACUCACUUCUUUGGAAAUACAAGUUUCUCAUAAACUUUAUAUAAACCCAAAAUCUUUGAUCAUCUCAUCAAAGCGUACAUUCCAACUCCGAGAUGCUUACUCCAGUCCUUAGAAGGAUCGCUGGAGCCAACAUACCUUUUAGCAUCCUUAGGAUCGACAAAACUUUCUGAUUGUAUCACAUACAACCUUUCCUUACGAAGACUGGUAAGGAAACUCGUUUUGACAUCCAUCUGCCAGAUUUCAUAAAUGCAGCUAAUGCUAACAUGAUUCCGACGGACUUAAGCAUCGCUAUGAAUGAGAGAAUCUCAUCGUAGUCAACUCCUUGAUCUUGUGAAAAACUCUUUGCCACAAGUCGAGCUUCAUAGACGGCGAUAUUACCGUCCACGUCCGUCUUCUUCUUAAAGAUCCAUUUAUCUCAAUGGCUUGCCGAUCAUCGGGCAAGUCCAUCAAAGUCCAUGCUUUGUUCUUAUAUAUGGAUACUAUCUCGGAUUUCAUGGCUUCUAACCAUUUGUCGGAAUCCGGGCCCACCAUCGCUUCUCCAUAGCUCGUAGGUUCAUUGUUGUCUAGCAACAUGACCUUCAAGACAUGAUUACUGUACCACUCUGAAGUAGUACGCAUCCUUGUCAUCCCACGAGGUUCGGUAGUGACUUGAUCCGAAACUUCAUGAUCACUAUCAUAAGCUUCUACUUCAAUUGGUGUAGGCGCCAUAGGAACAACUUCCUGUGCCCUGCUACACACUAGUUGAAGUGAUGGUUCAAUAACCUCAUCAAGUCUCCACCAUCCUCCCACUCAAUUCUUUCGAGAGAAACUUUUCCUCGAGAAAGGACCCGUUUCUAGAAACAAUCCCUAUUGCUUUCGGAUCUGAAUUAGGAGGUAUACCCAACCAUUUUGGGUGUCCUAUGAAGAUGCAUUUUAUCCGCUUUGGGUUCGAGCUUAUCAACCUGAAAGUUUUUCACAUAAGCGUCGCAGCCCCAAACCUUUAAGAAACGACAACUUAGGUUUCUCCAAACCAUAGUUCAAACGGUGUCGUCUCAACGGAAUUACGUGGUGCCCUAUUAAAGUGAGUGUGGUUGUCUCUAAUGCCUAACCCAUGAACGAUAGUGGUAAUUCGAUAAGAGACAUCAUGGUACGCACCAUAUCCAAUAGGGUGCAACUAUGAUGUUCGGACACACCAUCACACUAUGGUGUUCCAGGCGGUAUUAAUUGUAAAACAAUUUCCACAGUGUCUUAAUUGCGUGCCAAAGCUCGUAACUCAGAUACUCAUCUCUAUGAUCAUAUCAUAGACAUUUUAUCCUCUUGUCACAAUGAUCUUUAACUUCACUCUGAAAUUACUUGAACCAUUUAAUAAUUCAGACUUGUGUUUCAUCAAGUAAAUAUACUCAACAUCUACUCAAAUCAUCUGUGAAGUCAGAACAUAACGAUAUUCACUGCAUGCCUCAGCACUCAUUGGACUGCACACAUCAAAAUGUGUUACUUCCAACAGGUUGCUACCUUGUUCCAUCUUACUGAAACUGAGGCUUUUCAAUCAUCUUGCCCACGUGGUAUGAUUUUCAUAUCUCAAGUGAUUCAAAAUCAAGUGAGUCCAAACGAUCCAUCUGUAUGGAGUUUCUUCAUGCGUAUGCACCAAUGGACAUGGUUUGCAUGUCUCAAACUUUUCAAAAACGAGUGAGUCCAAAGAUCCAUCAACAUGGAGCUUCUUCAUGCGUUUUAUACCAAUAUGACUUACAUGGCAGUGCCACAAGUACGUGGUACUAUCAUUACUAUCUUAUAUCUUUUGGCAUGAAAAUGUGUAUCACUACGAUCGAGAUUCAAUAAACCAUUCUUUUAGGUGCAAGACCAUCGAAGGUAUUAUUCAAAUAAAUAGAGUAACCAUUAUUCUCCUUAAAUGAAUAACCGUAUUGCGAUAGACAUAAUCCAAUCAUGUCUAUGCUCAACGCAAACACCAAAUGAUAAUUAUUCUGGUUUAAUACUAAUCUUGAUGGUAGAGGGAGCGUGCGAUGUUUGAUCACAUCAAAACUGGAAACACUUCCAACAUAUAUCGUCAGCUCUCCUUUAGCUAGUCUCCGUUUAUUCCGUAGCCUUUUAUUUCAAGUUACUAACACUUAGCAACCGAACCGGUAUCUAAUACCCUGGUGCUACUAGGAGUACUAGUAAAAUACACAAUAACUUAAUGUAUAUCCAAUAUACUUCUAUCGACCUUGCCAGCCUUCUUAUCUACCAAGUAUCUAGGGUAAUUCUGCUCCAGUGGCUGUUCCCCUUAUUGCAGAAGCACUUAGUCUCGGGUUUGGGUUCAACCUUGGGUUUCUUCACUGGAGCAGCAACUGAUUUUCCGUUUCAUGAAGUGUCCCUUCUUGCCCUUGCCCUUCUUGAAACUAGUGGUUUCACCAACCAUCAACAAUUGAUGCUCCUUCUUGAUUUUUACUUUCGCGAUGUCAAAUAACGCGAAUACCUCAAGGAUCAUCAUCUCUAUCCUUGAUAUGUUAUAGUUCAUCACCAAGCUGUAGCAGCUUGGUGGCAAUGACUUUGGAGAAACAUCACUAUCUCAUCUGGAAGAUCAACUCCCACUCGAUUCAAGUGAUUGUUGUACUCAGACAAUCUGAGCACAAGCUCAACGAUUGAGCUUUUCUCCCUUAGUUUGCAGGCUAAGAAAAUCGUCGGAGGUCUCAUACCUCUUGACGUGGGCACGAGCCUGAAAUCCCAAUUUCAGCCCUUGAAACAUCUCAUAUGUUCCGCGAUGUUUCGAAAACGUCUUUAGUGCCUCAACUCUAAACCGUUUAACUGAACUAUCACGUAGUUAUCAAAACGUGUAUGUCCGAUGUUCGCAACAUCCACAAACGACGUUUGGGGUUCAGCACACUGAGCAGUGCAUUAAGGACAUGAGCUUUCUACUGUCCGCAUAAUCGCUACUUUUAACUUUCAACUAUAUUUACUCUAGGAACAUAUCUAAACAGUGGAACUAAAGCGCGAGCUUACGACAUAAUUUGUAAAGAUCUUUUGACUAUGUUCAGGAUAAUUAAGUUCAUCUCAUGAACUCCCACUCAGAUAGACAUCCCUCCAGUCAUCUAAGUGAUUACAUGAUCCGAGUCAACUAGGCCGUGUCCGAUCAUCACGUGAGACGGAGUAGUCAUCAUCGGUGAACAUCUUCAUGUUGAUCGUAUCUACUAUACGACUCAUGCUCGACCUUUCGGUCUCUUGUGUUCCGAGGCCAUGUAUGUACAUGCUAGGCUCGUCAAGUCAACCUAAGUGUUUCGCGUGUGUAAAUCUGUCUUACACCCGUUGUAUGUGAACGUAAGAAUCCAUCACACCCGAUCAUCAUGUGGUGCUUAGAAACGACGAACUUUCGCAACGGUGCACAGUUAGGGGGAACACUUUCUUGAAAUUUUAAUGAGGGAUCAUCUUAUUUACUACCGUCGUUCUAAGCAAAUAAGAUGCAUAAACAUGAUAAACAUCACAUGCAAUCAAAUAGUGACAUGAUAUGGCCAAUAUCAUUUUGCUCCUUUUGAUCUCCAUCUUCGGGGCUCCAUGAUCAUCAUCGUCACCGGCAUGACACCAUGAUCUCCAUCAUCAUGUCUUCAUGAAGUUGUCUCGCCAACUAUUACUUCUACUACUAUGGCUACCGGUUAGCAAUAAAGUAAAGUAAUUACAUGGCGUUGUUUAAUGACACACAGGUCAUACAAUAAAUAAAGACAACUCCUAUGGCUCCUGCCGGUUGUCAUACUCAUCGACAUGCAAGUCGUGAAUCCUAUUACAAGAACAUGAUCAAUCUCAUACAUCACAUAUCAUUCAUCACAUUCUUCUUGGCCAUAUCACAUCACAUAGCAUACCCUGCAAAAACAAGUUAGACGUCCUCUAAUUGUUGUUUGCAUGUUUUACGUGGCUGCUAUGGGUUUCUAGCAAGAACGUUUCUUACCUACGCAAAACCACAACGUGAUAUGUCAAUUGCUAUUUACCCUUCAUAAGGACCCUUUUCAUCGAAUCCGAUCCGACUAAAGUGGGAGAGACUGGCACCCGCUAGCCACCUUAUGCAACAAGUGCAUGUCAGUUGGUGGAACCUGUCUCACGUAAGUGUACGGGUAAGGUCGGUCCGGGCCGCUUCAUCCCACAAUGCCGCCGAAUCAAGAUUGGACUAGUAACGGUAAGCAUAUUGAACAAAAUCAAUGCCCACAACUACUUUGUGUUCUACUCGUGCAACGAAUCUACGCAAUAGACCUAGCUCAUGAUGCCACUGUUGGGGAACGUAGCAGAAAUUCAAAAUUUUCCUACGUGUCACCAAGAUCUAUCUAUGGAGAGACCAGCAACGAGGGGAAGGAGAGUGCAUCUACAUACCCUUGUAGAUCGCUAAGCGGAAGCGUUCAUGAGAACGGGGUUGAAGGAGUCGUACUCGUCGUGAUCCAAAUCACCGGAGAUCCUAGUGCCGAACGGACGACACCUCCGCGUUCAACACACGUACAGCCCGAUGACGUCUCCCACGCCUUGAUCCAGCAAGGAGAGAGGGAGAGGUUGAGGAAGACUCCGUCCAGCAGCAGCACAACGGCGUGGUGGUGGUGGAGGAGCGUGGCUAUCCUGCAGGGCUUCGCCAAGCACCACAGGAGAGGAGGAGGAGGAAGAAGAGAUGCAGGGCUGCACCAACGAGAGGGAGAAGUUCUCAUCUACUGGGCUGCUCCAAAAAAACCUCCAAUAUAUAUAGGGGAAGGGGAGGGCUGCGCCCCCUCUAGGGUUUCCACCCCCUAGGGGUGGCGGCCAGCCCUAGAUGGGUUUUGGGGGGGCGGCCAAGAGGGGAGAGAGGGGAGGCGCCCACUAGGUGGGCCUUAAGGCCCAUCUGGACUAGGGUUUGCCCCUCCCACUCCUCCUUGCGCCUUGGGCCCCUUGUGGGGGGGCGCACCAGCCCACCUAGGGGCUGGUCCCCUCCCACACUUGGCCCACGCAGCCUUCUGGGGCAGGUGGCCCCACUUGGUGGACCCCCGGGACCCUCCCGGUGGUCCCCGUACAUUACCGAUAUCGCCCGAAACUUUUCCGGUGACCAAAACAGGACUUCCCAUAUAUAAAUCUUUACCUCCGGACCAUUCCGGAACUCCUCGUGACGUCCGGGAUCUCAUCCGGGACUCCGAACAACAUUCGGUAACCACAUACAAGCUUCCUUUAUAACCCUAGCGUCACCGAACCUUAAGUGUGUAGACCCUACGGGUUCGGGAGACAUGCAGACAUGACCGAGAUAACUCUCCGGUCAAUAACCAACAGCGGGAUCUGGAUACCCAUGUUGGCUCCCACAUGUUCCACGAUGAUCUCAUUGGAUGAACCAUGAUGUCAAGGACUCAAUCGAUCACGUAUACAAUUCCCUUUGUCUAGCGGUAUUGUACUUGCCCGAGAUUCGAUCGUCGGUAUACCGAUACCUUGUUCAAUCUCGUUACCGGCAAGUCUCUUUACUCGUUCCAUAACACAUCAUCCCGUGAUCAACUCCUAGAUCACAUUGUGCACAUUAUGAUGAUGUCCUACCGAGUGGGCCCAGAGAUACCUCUCCGUUUACACGGAGUGACAAAUCCCAGUCUCGAUUCGUGCCAACCCAACAGACACUUUCGGAGAUACCUGUAAUGCACCUUUAUAGCCACCCAGUUACGUUGUGACGUUUGGUACACCCAAAGCAUUCCUACGGUAUCCGGGAGUUGCACAAUCUCAUGGUCUAAGGAAAAGAUACUUGACAUUAGAAAAGCUUUAGCAUACGAACUACACGAUCUGUGCUAGGCUUAGGAUUGGGUCUUGUCCAUCACAUCAUUCUCCUAAUGAUGUGAUCCCGUUAUCAAUGACAUCCAAUGUCCAUGGUCAGGAAACCGUAACCAUCUAUUGAUCAACGAGCUAGUCAACUAGAGGCUUACUAGGGACAUGGUGUUGUCUAUGUACCCACACAUGUAUCUGAGUUUCCUAUCAAUACAAUUAUAGCAUGGAUAAUAAACGAUUAUCAUGAACAAGGAAAUAUAAUAAUAACUAAUUUAUUAUUGCCUCUAGGGCAUAUUUCUAACAAGGCAGAGAUGUAGAGGGGCGGCAGUUGACUUCGUCAGAUUGAUUUUUUAACUGAAAUCCACUGCCUGCCAUGCUAGAGAAGGCCGAAGAUCGCUGGACAAAGCUUGGGUGGCGGAUGGGAGUGGAUUGAAGUGGCUAGGGUUUGGUCUGGGGAGCGAAUGAAGAGGAAUAUAUGUGGGGUCCGCUGGGCCAGUGUGUGCUGGGUCCAACAUGGCGGACACGUCCGAACGCGCCCAGGCGCCCCAUAUCCAUCCCAAAUUUAGGCUGGAUAUGAGGGGUGCCGGUCAGUCUGGACAUUUGAGACCCGUUUGAGGCACAUGUCUGAGUCGGUUUUUUUAUGACCGGCCACAGACCGAGUCGUAUGAAGCGGGUUUGGAGCGCCCGGCUAUAGAUGCUCUAAUAGCUUUGAUAUGCUAAGCCCUUUGUCUUUUACCAACGUUGCACAGACGGUCUCAACCAUCACCCGACCCGUUCGACAUUCUUUUAGGCAUAGUUUUUCGUGCAGGGAAGGGGUAGUGCAUAUGGAAUUAUAUAGACUUUAAAUUGUAUUUUUGAGAAUAAAUUGUAAAAAUAAAUCAUCAUAUUUUGGAGACCCUAAUUCAGAAAACCUCCACCUUCUGUUCUUUUUCAAAAAUCACCACCAUUAUACUAAGAGUUGUUUUCAGAAAACUCUUUUUUUUCUAGGGUACCCCAAUGGCAUACCAUAUUUUUAUAGAAGAGAGUAUAAUUACAAGAAGUCAAGCCGGGAUGUGUGCAUCCCGAAUGACAUUACCCCACACCAACACCAACUAAACUAAAAAGGUCACUCUCACAGAAAGAUCUAAACCUCCAACACCCAAGCCAGCAAGCCUCCAAUCUCUGACCUCCGAAAGCACCUGCUCCGCAACUAGUGGUGGGGAUCUCUGAUCGUGCACUUUGUUGAACACCCUUGCAUUCCUUUGCUUCCACAAUGACCAAGCUGUCCCGGUCACAAGAGAAUCAAAACAACGUCGGGUUCUACCCGAGAAGCUUCUUCUUGAAGCAAGCCACCAGUUUGUGAACGUGUCCGUCGGGGCGAGAGGCUGGAUGUUAAUCCGAAGGGCCUCGAAGCAAUGGUGCCAAACCUCUCUCGUGUAGGUGCAUUGGGUGAGGGUGUGUUCAACGCUAUCUUCAUCCUGCAAACAAGUAUAGCAAUGCGAGUGUUCAUCUUGCAGCUCAUACCUCACACACCUGUCUGAGGUCCACCGUCUGUAUUAAGCACUGAGCCAAGCAAAGAUUUUGCAUCUCAGAGGCGCCCAGCUCCUUCAAAUGCACCUAUACGUCGGUGAUCUGGUCAAACCCAAGCAAAGCCAUGAAUAGAUUGAUUUCGCCGUGUAGCUCCCGGUCACAUCCGCUGGCCAUAGAAACUGAUCAUGUUGAUGUGCGUUUCUUUCCACCGUCGCGAGCGCCUGACAAAGGUUGCCCACUUGUAUGUGUGCCACAAAGGAGAUGUUCCCCAGACCCCAACACAUCCUGAGACCACGCGUUGUCGAUGAGGGCUUGCUGGACUGUCCUGGUGUUGCGUGCACACGUGUUGACGAGCUCCAUGAUGGUCGGAGCGAUCUCGCCCAAAGUGAAGCCGUGGAUCCAUCUAUCUUUCCAGAAGAACACCCUCUUUCCGGUGCCAACCUUGAUCUUGACCAUGCUAUUGAAUACCAUCUUAGCCUCUUUAUCCUCCAUCAUAGGGAUUCCUUGCCAUGGCCUGUUUGGGUCUGCCCUCCGAAGCCAUUCCCAUCUGACGUGGAGAGCCAUGCUUGGAGCCAGAGGUUCGGCAUCCCAAGGCCUCCGAAACAAGUAGGGCGGGCAACCGUAUCCCACGCGACCAAGCACUGACCACCAUUGGUCUUUUCCUUCCUUGCCAAAAGAAUGAGCAGACCCACUUCUCAAUCUCUUCAAAGACCCAAACCGGUGUAUUGAGAACCAUGAGUUGGUGAAUUGGUCUAGUCGUAAUCACCGAUUUAGCAAGGAUCAAUCUGCCCGACCUCUAAAUAAGACCUCUUUGCCAAGCGGGGAUGGGUUUCCUCGCAUGGUCCACCAAGGGUUGCCAAUCCAUUCGACCGAGCUUUUUGAUGGUUAAUAGGAUACCAAGAUAGCGACAAGGAAACGCUGCAGUCAGGCACUACAAGAUAUUCAAGACCCUAUGUCUCUCUUCAUCCGAGCCACCAAUGGGUAUUGCUGCCGAUUUUGCAUGAUUGAUCCUCAACCCUGAAGCCACUCCAAACACAUGUAGCACCUCUCUGACACAUAGUAGAUCUUGCUCUGAAGGCUUGAUGAACAUGAUAAGGUCGUCUGCGUAGAUGGACAGUCGUUGCAUCAAAGAUGCCGCGGAAUGAGCUUAGAACGCCUUCCUCUUCCACUGGAAAUCAGAGUCGUAAGAGAGAACGGAUCCCCUACCUAAGACUAUCCACAAUGGGAGUAACAUAGGUAGUAACAUCACACAUAUCUAGGCUAAAUAGAUGAUGUGGCAUGCAAUAAAUGAAGAAAAAGAUAAAAGUGGUAACAUAGCUAGUUACUACUAGUAUGAGUAACAUCACACAUGUCAAGACAAGAUGUGUCUAUAGCCUAAUAAAUGAAGUGCUCCAUGUUACCACACAUAUGUUAUUCCCCACUAUAGAGGUAGUAACAUAGACUAGUAACAUGCUCAUGUUACUAGUCUAUGUUACUACCCAUUGCGGCUAGUCUAAGGCUAGUCAUAGUGGGAGUAACUUAGCAAGUAACAUAGCGCACUCCGAGAAAUUUUUGCUUAUGUGGCAUGUAGUUAAUGAGAAAUGGUAACAUAAUAUGUUACUGUAACAUAGCGUUUUCCAAGACAAGAUGAGUCUACGAGCUAAUUAAUGAAAUCCUUUAUGACACUACUACUAUGUUACUUUGCACUAUGAAGGUAGUAAUUUAGACUAGUGUCAUAUGCAUGUCACUAGUAUAAGUUACUCCCCACUAUGACCAGCCUAAGCCCUUUUGCGUGGAAGAUUGGCCGCCCAGGCACUCCAUUAAUAAUAACUUUGGUACCAGCCGUUCAAGGAUGAAAGCAAUCCAUUUUAGCCACCGGUUCCGAUUCCUCUUGCCGUCAACACUUCGAACAGAAAAGACGCGUGUUAACACCAUAUAUCUGACAGAUGGGGCCUGCUGUAAGUGCUGAUGGGGCAAAACAACUUGACCUGACCUAUAAUAACAAAAAAAAAAGAAGCAGGGGGGCCACCGGCCCACCGUAUGCGUCUCACACAGCCGGGGUCUCCGUGGACGACGCCAAUGCUGCCGCCACACAGCUCUGGUUCGUCGUUUCUGCACUCCGGCUACUUCUUCGUCGCCGUGAAUCUAUCGAGGACAGGUUCGAGGGCCGGAUCCCCUUCCCGCGCACGGAGCGCGUUGUGGCGCCAGACCCGGCGGCGAUGCACACCGCGCGGCGCGUCCGGUUUGCCGCCCGACGACGGAUCCAAGCGCCGCUGGGCCCCCGCGCAGCCCCGACGACGGAUCCGAGAGCGACGCGGCCUCCCACUGUGCUAGCCGCCCUCCACUUCGCCACCCGCCACCCCGCCGGAUCAGCUCCUCCACUCCGCCAGCGUCGUCGGGCAGCUCCUGGUUAUGAGGAGAUCCAACCCGGUGUCACUCGUUUGUGAGAUCGAUGAAGCAGGAAAGAAUCACAUGUGAGAUCGAUGUCGUUCUUGCUUUCACAUUAUUUCCUCUACUAACCUACCCACCCCGUCCCAAAAUAAGUGUUGCCAUAGCAUUCUCUAGGGAACUAGAGUACAUCUUUCUGAAGAAUCGUUCUACACGAGGCCUUUCAUGCAAAUCUAUACACUCACUUUCCUUUGGGGUUCGUAAGAAAAACACCGACCUAGUACAGCUUCAGAAAGGAAUCGGCAAGUUCCUGGAGGACAGUCAGUUCUAACACUGACCAUAGAAAGGAUGCAUUUCAAAGUUUGAAUCACAUGCUACCACAUUGUGACGACCAUUCACUAUUCGAUUAGGCCAGUAAGUACUGUAAUUUCUACUCACUUCAUUCACUGUUACUCAAUUUCAAAUAUUUGGAGGCCAUGCAAGUUCAGAGUUCCCUCCACAUUUUCUCAUCCGGGCUUGGGACCCGCAAAGGCAGUGUUAAACUACAAAACUACAGAACACAAAAAUUAGCAAACACUACAACCAAUUAUUUCAGCUAUGCAUAGGCAAUAAAUAUCUGCACAAGAUCAUAAGACAGACAUAGGGGCACAAACAAACAAAGCUGUAAAUUACAGGACCUGAAUGAGAGUAAUUAAUUUAUAUAGUGGUAGUGGGUGAUCCAAACCUUUAAUCUUGACAAUAAGAAUAUAUACCAACAUCUAGAGGAUGAUUAUCUUUCGCAGUUUUAUCCCAUUAUAGGGUCAGAGGAGAUACUUUUGUAUCUUAAAAAUCCAGGAUAAUGUAUUGACUAUGAAAUAUAAUGUGUGGCAUAUGUAUAGCUGGAGUUAAGAGUAUGCAAUUCACAGGAAUCGUCAAAUUAGUAUUUUUGCUAGUUGCCAAGCAAAUUGAAAUUAGGGAGUUCCCAGAAAACCGAGAUUAUGUAAUUAAAGAUUUGAGAAUAUGUAGUUGAAGAUCCCAUAAACCAGAUCAAAUUAGCCAUUAGAAGACGGUAAGAUGUGUGAACGCUUUUUCUCUUUAAUCCAGGAAUAUGAGCUACUUGAGUUGAAAGUACACAAUCAGAAGGAAUCAUCAAAUUGGCAGGACUGUUUUGCUAGUUGUCAAACUACAACUAGGAAGUUCCCUAGCAAACCGAGAAGAUGCAUAGUGGAAGAUAUGUAAUGCAGGUCUCACUGGAGAAGCACCAAUGAGAAGAACAUCAUUUUCUGAAAAUCAAUUCCAUACGACCAAACCGGAAUCAUAAUUAGUUGAGAUGACAUCAGGAGUAGAGUUUCAAGCUUCCAGUUCAGAACCUUCAACUCUCCAUUGUUUUAGUAUAUGGCAAUAAUUCCUUAGCCUCUUUCUGCAUAUCAAGUCAUCAACAUUACCUAACUACAAGUCAGGAGGCCACUACUGUUAAACCAACUAAAGUGCGAGAGCCGCAAACUAGGUGGGAUCUUCUUUAUCACCGAAGUUAAAAAUCUGUGCACACCAAAAAUUCUUUGUCUGUCAUAAGAUGAUCAUAAAGAAUUCACCAGGAAAAUAGUUAAAUAAACAAACCAAGUGUGGACAAGAAUAUGUAGAACAGUAGACCGACAAAUCUUUUACUGCAGUCAGAGCUCAUGUACAUGUAUUAGGUGAUAAAUUUGCAAGCUAAAGAUACUAGAGAUAAAAUUAUACUCCCUCUGUUCCAAAAUAGAUGACCCAACUUUGUACUAACUUUAGUACAAAGUUGGGUCAUCUAUUUUGGAACGGAGGGAGUAGAUACAAGCAACCUAAUAUUAAAACCCAACUUCUGGAAACAGUAUGACAACCAAGUAAUAAUACAGCCAAAUCAAAAAUUGAUAAUCUGCUAUAGAAACUUUGAGUAUGAACUGAUGUUUGAGACUAAUAAAGGAACUUCCUAGGACAUCAUUAAUAUUAAACUUCCUAGAACCAUUGUUUUACUUCUAGUAUUUUGUUGAUUCGGAGCAAAACAUGCGAUCCGUCCAAACCACAUGCAAGUUGAAGCAGAAACCAAGUAAGAUCCUUCAGGAUGGUUGAAAAAAAUCAGAUGUGCACACUACUAACUCCAAACUACCACUGAAUGCAAGUUCAAACUGAAAGCUGUCACUCAGAGAGAAGUUUGACAAGAUCGAAUCAUGAAGAAUCUCCUAGAGUUCUGCACCAUUCAAAUGCUGGAGAACAACCAAAAAUCCAAAUAAUACUCAGAACAGAGACCAAACUGUUCACAUGGAGAAAUCAAAUAGGAGGAGAAUAUAUCCGAACAGUCCAGUCACGCCUCAUGACACUUAUGAAUCCUCAACCAUGCAGGCAUGACCAACAAUUCUUAUCUCAAACUUAAGAUAUCAUCCGAAGAGCUAAAGAACAACCAUGAAUCACUCUCUACCCUUCAAUACGAUCUCCAACAAAGGUGCAUACAUAAACGAGAUAAAAUUCACCUUGUAUUACGUGAUAGACAGAAUCGUUGAUUAGCCAUUGGAGAUUGGAGGAGGAACAAAGCUAAUUAUUGCAUUGAGAGCAGACCAGACACUGAGAUGACUCUACAGGGAACACACAACAAUUCCAACAUAUACUGCAAAGAACAAGCCCACCAGGCCAACAGAAUCACAUGGAUGGGGAGUACAGAUAUAACAAAGUAAACCACAGAGAGGAUCAGAAACCAAAAAGGUGACAUAUUUUGAAUCGCUACCAGCAUGGCUUGAUCUGCAACCACAGGAAGGCAGGAGGAAAAACCACAAUCAAUCCUACAAGCAAAAGGCAACCAAGACAACAGAAGUUUCUUCAGGAGAUAACUCAGCAUAAGAUAAUUUUUUGGUUGUUGAGAGCACUGAAUUUUUUCGGUUGUAGGAUGUCCAAUCUAGACUGAAGCCCCGGAGCAACCUUCGAAUCUUAUACAUCCACCAAAUCAAUCUGAAUGUUCAUGAAUUGGAAAGUUGUAGGGUUUAGAAGAUCUUCAAACAGAUAACUCCACAUCAGGUUGGACCUAAAUAGUCAAUUAGGACCUGCAACGACCAAGAGACCUUCCCAUGAAUUUUCACUGUGGGGAGACAAAGCUACUUGAAACAGCUAAAUAAUGCAUUAUAACCAUGUCAAUAUCAGUUAGGCAACAACACCAGUUCCAGAUAGCAAACUAAAUUCUCUCAUCCAUGUCAAUAUCUGCAAGGACACGUUACCAAGGGCAGAGAAAACCAUAGGAGUACAAUGUUCAAAGCAAAUCAGGAAAGAUUGAAGUCAACAGAAGAAACCGUCUAUAACAUGGUGAAACAAAACAGGGCACCUUCCAGAAAGUCCCCAUAAGUCCAAUAGCUGGAGAACAAUCCAUAUCAGAGAUGUUGUAAGCUAAAUUUGACUGUGCAAAACAAAGACACUAAAUCGAGGAGGAUCGAUUAUAAACACUGUUCGAAAAUUUUCUGAUCCCCAUCCCAUGGUUAACUAUCCAAUCCACAGCUUCAAUCCAAAACGAAAACUUCAGCACACAAGAUCCUAGCUUAUAACCAUCCAUUGAGCCAAUCAAAAUAACCACGGACAGUAAAGCAAACCUCGAUCCUUUGAUUCAUCACUCCACAACAUCCUGUAUCUCAAGGAGCACAAACACAUACCACAAGCAAGAUCAGCUGUUACAACGAGAACCAACGAGAAUCCACCUCAUAUCUAGGGACAACGAUACUGAUGAGCCAUUAGACGAAGACAAAUCGAAGAACUUAAGGUAGCCACUCAAAUCUUUCGUCGCCGAGCACAGAUGAGGGAUCCAGUAAACCAAUGUGACCAAACAUGGGAAACUGACCUGCCUCAAAACCCCUUCACCAUACUGUUAUACACCAUAGGGAGCUACAUGUCCAGACCAGAUUCAGAUCCAGAUCCAGAUCCAGUCCUGCAAGCCAACUCAUGGAGGCAGCGAUAGCAAAUGAAACAGACCAUCUACAAGACACUGAACUGACUCCAUGUACAAAGCAAAGGUUUGGGUACAAACUCCUAACUAUUAUAUCCUGCAACCCGCACUUGCAGAAGACCAAUAGAACACAAGGAUCAAGAGUUAAGAUAACAAAUCGAACAACGGAGCGCUAGAUCGCAAACCAAAAUAUUUAACAGAUUCCGCGUCAUUACCCACAUGGCCUGGGCUAAAGAAAAAUCUGCAAGCACAGGAAGGGCAGGAGCAAAAACCUAUAUCAAAGACAUGGCCAAGUAGCUAAAUGAAAUUAAAAAAAAGGGAUGGCAAGAGUCUUUUUCGGUUGUAGGAUGUGCCAUUAGUCGAAAGCUUCGGAUUAUCCUUAGAUUCAUGCACCUCUGCAUAUGAAUCUGUAUUACAAAAUAUUGCCUAGUAAAAUAAUGUGUAGGUCAUGUAAGUAACAAUGAAUUGAAACAAUACUAGAUUUAGAAGAUCUGCAAACAGAUUCAUCAUCAGGUUGGGCUUGAGUUCGUCAACUACAACCUGUAACGAGCAAGAGACCUUUCUAUAAAUUUUCAGUUAGGGGAAAAUGUUACUUAUAAAUAGCUAAAGUAUGGAUCAAAUGAUGGGUGGGAACAAGUAAGCCUGUUUCAGAUAGGAAGUUCAGCUAUGGUUGACGGACGAUAACAACACCAGUUCCAAACUGCAGGAUAUCCUUUCCAAGUCAAUAUCUGCAAGAGCUGAGAAUUACCCACUAAUGCAGAGAAAACCUAAUGCCAUGAGAUUUAAGUAAGGAAGGUUGAAAAAGUUUUGAGCCACAGAAGGAACCGCCAUGUUGAGGAAAAAUAGGACCGCCUUCUAAGCCAUAUUAUUCCAAUUUCUGUAAGCCACGAAGAAGUAGUUUAAAUCAGAAUUUUGGGGCACCAAAACAAAACGGUGGAGAGACUAAAACAAAGGGAGAUAACUUUAAAGGUUAUCUAACUUAUGAUGAGUUAAAAAAAUGGUAGAUUUAGAAGAACUGCAGCCCAGCACCAGAUUGGACUUGAAUUCAUCAACUAUGACCUGCACCGAGGAAGAUACCUUUCUACAAGUUAGGAAAAACUCGGCUCAGCUAAAGCAUGCAUCAAACAAUGAGGAUGUAAAGAUUAACUAAGCAUGUCUCGGUUGGGGGUAGGGAUGACGGGUUACCACACCGGUUCCAAACUGCAAUUAUCGAAGCCAGUAUCUGCAAGAACUGAGAAUUACCGACUAAGAGCAGAGAAAAUACAAAUGUCUGGAGAGUUCAAUUAUAUUGAAUAAGAAAGGUCAGGAAAGUCGACGAACAGAAAAAGAACCGCCAUGCCGAGGCAAAAUAGGACCACCCGCUAGCGAAAAAACGUUGCAGAUCUGCAGGCAGCACGGAAUCUACCCCACCCAACUAGCAUUGGGAUAUGUGUUGUCAGUCGUAUUGCAAUUUCCAGCAAUCCGUAUAUCACCGUAUUCCACUGUUCGCCAACAGUUGAAGGGGCAGGUACAAGUUAUUAGAUGGGCCAUCACUCCUUUUCGCAGGUCGCCACUGUUGAGAAAAUUGAUGAUGGUUUGACUUGUCAGGGUGGGAGGGCGCCGGAGAAUUACUGCAUGAUCCAGCAGAUUAGCACAAUAAUGAUAGCCCACGUUGAAUAUAGUUUUGUUCAAUAUGAGAGAUUAGCAAUGUGAAAAUGGAGGAACAGUAAGACGCGGAUUUUUGUUUGCUUGUUAGUAUAGUAAAUAUAUGAUUUUGGUAUGUAUUAAAAAGUUGUAGGGCUGAAACAGUUAACAAAAAAUAAUUUAAGGUCCUUAACCAUAACUUAACACUAAUCGUGGGAUUUUAAUCAUAACGAAAAGAGGCAAGCAGACUGCACAGGUUAAAACGAGCAGGUGGAGUAAGCCCGUGGCUGUUACAUUCUAACAGAUAGCGACGUGUGCGACGUCAGGCAGAUUAGAAUAUUGAUACUACUUUGAUGCAGUAGCCAAUUGCACACUAGUUUGAGGAUUAGUUUGUAGAAACAGAGAAAUCCACGAUGAACAUGUGUUAUUAGCACCCGAAUGCACAACAUUUUUUAAAGAAAAGAGACACAUUUAGCUAAAUAUUUGAUCAAAAAAUAGUAGAUAAUUGCACAAUAAUUUGAGAAUAAAUUUUAUGGAAAUAGAGAAAUUAGCGAUGAACAUGUGUUAUUAGCACCCGAACGGCGGCAUAACAUUUUUUAGAGAAAUUUCAAGGUGGUCCAAAGCAAUAUAGACCGUUAAAUUUUAAUUAUCUAAUGGCUGAUAUAACUAUUACCCCCUCCGAUUUUAUUUACUCCGUAUAUUAAAUUUGUCUAACGCCAAACCUUAUAAACGUUCAACAAGUUUGUACAAAAAUAUAAUAACAUGUACACCACCGAAUUAACACCAUUGUAUUCAUAAUUGAAUAUAUUCUCACAUCAUGUAGAUUUGUUACUGUAAAUGUUCUUAUUAUUUAGACAACAAAGGGCAACCUGGUGCAUGUAGCUCCCGCUUGCGCAGGGUCCAGGGAAGGGUCCGACCACUUUGGGUCUAUAGUACGCAGCCUUUCCCUACAUUUCUGUAAGAGGCAGUUUUGACUCUUAUUAUUUAGACAGCAGUCAAAACUAAUAUGCAGAGUACAUAAAAAUGGGGGGAGUACCUCUUAGCAGGUAAUAUGAGGUAAUAUACCAUUAAUGACGGCGUGGGGUUUAGUAUGGGCAUUGUUGCGGUAUAGUUAAGAAAGGAAAUCAUUAUAAUUUAUUCCUUUCCAUUUAAACUGGGAGUAUAUAAGAAAAUAAAAUAAAUAGAGCUAAUUAAUUCCAUAUUUUGUUUCCAACUUUGUUUUGCUUAACGUACCUUAUCAUCAUGUCUAACAAAUGAAAUAAGAAGUUUGUCAUGUCCUGUCAUAUAUAUCUAUGCUUGUAUUAUGUUGUCGGUUGGGAAAUUAAAAAGAAAAUGCACUGCAUUUGUUUUUAGAAAACACCAUAAAUGAAUACUGCUUGAUCAAACCAUAGCAAAAAAACAGUCAAAAUACCAUCAGAAUUUUUCUGUAACAAAGCAACCAUGUGUACCAGUGUUAUUGCACAUCUUUUUUGAGGGGUAACACAUUUUUUGUUAGAGCAGAUAAUGUAUAAUGGAGAACAUUUUGAAUAUUUCUUACACAGGAAUGAGUCACACGGUCCUAGCAUGUGUGUACAUUUAUUUUUCUUUAUUGGCUCUCUCAGAAUGAUGCGAAUAUACAUACUGAAAUGUCUUUUGUAGUGUGUAUCACAUGGAUAUUUAUCAUAUUAUACAACAUGAUAAUUACUCAUCUUCAUAUGGUAGAUACAACACAUAUGUACGGGGGUCAAAUGUGAACUAUUAUUAUAUUAAAAGGAGAUGUGGGAAAUGUUUUAAACAUUAGUUUUGUCAAGUAAUUGCCAUAUUGCAAUUUGUGUGGUCAAAUAUAUCCUUGAUGAAUGAACAAAGCAAAUAUUUCUCUUGCCUCUUAAGAGGUAACAGGGACCAUCUUAAGAGAGCUCUUUAAAAAAAAUUAAGAAGAAGCACACAGUUAGUUAAUUGUCUGCUAAAAAACAAUAACUAAUUGCACACUAAUUUGAAGAUUAGUUUAUAAAAAAAAGAGAAAUGCUCGGAUGGUACAUAUACAAAAAAUAGCUGAAUAGAAAAUAAAUACUUUUUGUUGGGCCAGUGCAACAAUAAUUCUGCUGCAACUCUGCAGACAGGGCAGGCUUAUCCUGUGCUAUUUCAAAAACCCGCGUUCGUUUAACCCGUGCGAGCAGGGCCUGACAAUGUGCCACUUCCAUACGGCUGCACUAUGCAUGCAUGUGUGUAUUAGCCCGUAUACCUCGGAAACGCCUGACAAGAAGGAAUCGCGAAGUCCUUUCCCACGAAGGGGAUACCGAGCUACCUGACACUCGGCCUCUGCAACGCCUCUCUCCACCCGCUAGGCCCUGUAAUUCCAAUUUCUGGACAACCAUCAACAGAUCACAAUCAGAAUUGUUGGGAGACUAAUUGAACUCUGGAGAAGAAAAAAUUAAACUAAGAAGGUAAUAAUCAUCCAACGCAGAUCACCAAGAUGAUAGGUGCUCCCUCUAAGCCGUAUAACCCUAAAUUCUGAAGAACCAACAAAUGCAAAUCAGAAUUGUCGUAGACAGAAGGUGAGCUGUGGAGAGAAAUGAAUGAAAUGGAGGAAGUAAUGAUUCAUCCAAAGCAAAUCAGAAAGAAGACGACAAGUCACCCCCGAUGCUAAGCCAAAUCCAAAUUUCUGGAGAUCCACAAAUAAUAAUCCAAAUCAGAACCUCUGGAGAGUAAAUUAUUGUACUUUGAAAAUGAAUAAGUUAAAAGUCAGAGGAAUCGAGAAUUUGAUCAUCCAAACACGGAUCACAAGUUCUAGGUUGAUGAGCGAUCCAAAACUUCAGUUGAACAUCAAAACAUUGUCCUCCGGGAAGAUCUGACCAUUUGUUCAUCUAAAGGAAACCAAACCUCCACCCUUUGACUCAUCUCUGCACACUCUUGCUUCUGCUGCAUCUAAAGGAGCACAAACACACACCAAAAGCGAGAUGAGCUGCUACAAUAAGAAUCCUCCAGGACCUUGGAUCCACCUCAUAUUAGCUGAUGAUGUUGGAACUCGUGAUGAGAACCAGAAGACCACACGAGCGAUAACCAUUCAAAUCUGACCUGCCUCAAAUCUCUUAGACAUAAAACACCCCAAGGAUCUCCACAUACCAGAUCCAGUCCUGCAACCAACCCAUGGAAGCCAACACAAAUGAACCAACAGUACUACACCGUGACACGUAUACAAAGCACAAGUUUGCAUGUAGAACCAAACUUCCUAUAAAUAUAUCAGAUAGCAAUGGGCAGGAAGACCAACGCAGGGAUCCAGACAAAGAGAUAGAUGGCAAACCAGACGAUUUUUACAGGUUCAGACUCACUACCAGCAUUGUUUUGGGCCAAAACAAAUCUGCAACGACAUGGAAGGCAGAAGCAAAAAACCAAAAUCAAAGAUAUGAACAUGUAGCUGAAUUAAAUAAAAAUAAGAGGAUAAGAGGUUAAGUUUUUUCCGGUUGUACGAUGUGCCACUUGUUCGAAGCUUCAUUCUUGCACCUUUGCAGCUAAAUCUGAAUUCGAAAUAUUGCCUAGUAAGAAAUCUUCGUAUUAUAUUUUCUAAGUUAAGGAGAAGAUAGAUUUAGAAGAACUGCAAACUCAGCAUCAGGUUGGUGGCCUUGAGUUCCUGAAGGAGCAAGAUACCUUUCGAUAAAUAAAUGUUUCAGUUAGGAAGAAAACUAGAUUAAACGAUGAGUUGAAGAUAAAAUAAAGUAAGCCUGUCUCGACUGGGAAGGUCAGGUAGACAACACAGUUCCGAUUAUAUCUCUUGCAAGACACUAUCUGAAUGACUAAGGCAGGGGAAACUACUGUCAGAUGAGUUAUUAUAAUCAACAAGAAAGGUUCAGAAAGUUGAACCCCAUAAGAAGGAAGAAACGCCAUGCCGAGCCAAAAUAGUACCGCCCGCUCUGGAGAGCCAGCAACAAAUGACAAUCAGAGUUGUUGGGAGACUAAUUGAAUUGUGGAGAAGAACAAAUUAAACAGAGAGUGACCAUCCAAACACGCCCAGGUCAGCAAGAAGAUGAGUGGCUCCCAUCAGGCCCUGUCAUCCCACUUUCUGGACAACUAGCAAAAUGUCCAAAUCAGAAUUGUACAUAGGAGGGAUUGAGAUAUUCCAGCCUAGUUGGUAAGAGAUUGAAAGCUUGAUCAUCCGAGAAGAUCUAACCAUAUCAGAAUAACCGUUGGACUGUAACCAAUCAAUCAAAACAACCAUGAAUAGAAAUCAAACCUCCACCCCCUUCAUCUAUUAUCAUCUCUUCGGAACUAGCGCUCGCCCUCUUGGUUCUGCAUCUAGGAUGAGAGCACAUGCAUGCACCAAAAGCAAGCUAGAUCAGCCGGUACAGCAAGAAUCCACGAGGGCCUCGAAUCCACCUCGUGUUAAAUUCAAUCAAUCAAUUCAAAUCUCAAAAUCACCGACGGAGGCAGGCAGGUGGCGGAACCAGGAACCGAUCUGACCGAGCACGAGAAACUGGAAUCCACCAUCGAUCGUUAAACCAAACGAAUCGAGAUUUGAUGGACAAGGGGACGGAAACAGUCGCGGAGACGCGAGCAGGCGAUCGAGGGCGGAGGCGCGGCAGGAACGAAAGCUCCAAAGAGAGAGAGGGAGGAGGCCGGAGCGCGGGGUGGAGGGGGCGCGCCUGGGCGCCUUUUGUAGGCGGUUGGGGAGGGGGAGCCGGCCUCGGCCAGGCACCAACCGGCUCCUAGCCGGAUACGGCUUCGCCGCGCUGGCGUGGCCGCGUGUUUGGCAAGGCAUGAUUAUGCUUUGCGGGGACGGACGGACGGGUGGGCGGCGAGAAUCAAAAGCGAGUGGAGGUGGCCGGUGAUCGGGCUGGAUCCGGUUUAGUUUAGGAUAUGUUGAUAAGAUCAUAAGAUAGUUUUAUUUUAAGUCUUGCAUGUAAUUUAGAAAUGAUAAAAAAAUUGCCGAUCAUUUUUUAGUCUUAUUUUUAAUAACUAGCUAUUUCUAAAAACAUGGUGAUACAUAUUGUGCUAAGAGAUCAUCUUUUGUCUUCUCUUAAAUAAGAGAAAACAAGUCUUUUUUUUAUGAGUUCUCUCUUCUCCAUCUCAUUAUUUAUUUUACGUGACACUUCUAAAAUAGCAUCAUUGUACAUGUCCUUAGCGCAGAUUCACUGAAAUCCCAAAGGGAAGUGUUUGUGUACGGUGCGCCGGCCGAAACUUCGGCCGGUCCCGCACGAGCCACGCGAUCGAGAUGUAUCGCACGCCUCGCGUACCUCCGUGCCCCACUUUUUUUUCUUUUUUCCCUGUCUGCUUCCCUAUCCCUUUCUAUCUCUCCCAGCCGCAUCGACGCAUGGGGAUGGCCAUGCUUCUUGUCUUCCUGCUUCAGAUCCCGCCGCCGACUAAUCCCAAUCCGACGCAGGUCCAUACCUCCACCCCCCUCGGCGCCCACACCCACUUCUUGCGCUGCCCCCCGGCUACAGGUUCCUUCCGCCCCGGCGAGCCGACAUUGGAAGCCGCGAUGGAUAUGCCAUCGGCGAGUUGCUGCUCGUAGUUUUCCUGUGCUGGAACCGUCCACCAGAUAUGCUACAACCACGGCAGCGCAAUCUCCUCCCCCGCUGCUGCAACCAUCUUCUCCCAAACGAACAUUGAAAGCAUUUUUGCUCCUCCACUGAUGUUGGAACCGACGACCAAAAAAGCUACAACCGUUCGAUUUGAAAGCUUCGACCAGUGGUAUAUAAAAGCUUCAACUAGACACCAUGCACUGACAAAAAGCUACAAGCGUUCAUACAGAAGCUUCAACCAUAGCUUGAAAAAGCUUCAAUGGCCCACCACACAACUGAAAAAAGCUUCAAUAGUUCAUGUGAAAGCUUCAAACCGUAUUUGAAAAAGCUUCAAACGGGGCAAUAGAGAAGUUUCAUCCGACCACUAUGAAAUAAAAAAGAAUCUACAACCAUCAAAUUUGAAAAAGCUUCAACCGUUGAAUUGAAAAGCUUCAACCAAUUUUAUAGAAAGCUUCAACCAGCUUUAUAGAAAGCUUCAACCCGCGAUUACACAACGAAAAAGUUGCAAUCGUCUCAGAGUUUUGCUACUACAGGAGAUGUCAUUUGCUACUAUCAGAGUUUUUUCUGUACCGGCGAUUUUUUGCUACAACCAUAGCUUCAUUUUGCUGGAACCAGGUUUUCAAAAUGAUUCAACAGGGUGCUGCGACACAGAGCUGUUUCUUUGACAACUUUUUUUGUUGCGAGUGUCGACGGCGAGCAUCGGCAGCGAGCACGGCACAGCGGCGAGCAUGACGCGGAGCUGCAACCACGACGACAUAUGUCAGGGCUGGCUACUGUCAGUACCAAAAAAGCUGCAACAGUUGUCGCUUGUGCUACUGCCGGCAUCGUUGUUUGCUACAUACUUCACGGCUUAGCUGCGACGUGCAACGACGGCGGCGAUCAACAAGCUAUAUGUUUUUGCUGGAACGAAGACUAUGUGUGCUACAACCGGCUUUGGCAGAGCUACCAUGGGUGAAUUUUUUUGCUACAACCAUGUACGGGUUAGGUGUGACCUCGGUAGGGAGCUGCAACAGUUGAUGUUUUUUGCUCCUACCGACAUCAUUGUUUGCUACAUGCUUCACGACUUAGCUGUGACAUUCGACGAUGGCGGCGACGUUUUUGCUACAACCGCCGCUGGAUUUUGCUUCAUCCGUUCGUGGAUUAGCUGCAACCUGCGACGGCCACGACGGCGAUUCGCUGCAACUGUGCUUCUGUUUUGCUACCACCGGCAAAUAUUUUUGCUACAUCCAUGCAUAUUUUUGCUACGACGGCGCUUCAAACACGGUGAUGAGCAAAUCUUCUUGCUGGAGACGACAAAGGCCGGUUCCAGCAAAAUGUGAGUACGGUUCCAGCAAAUCUUCUUGUUGGUUCCAACAUUCCUCGACCAUUUUUUUGCUGGAGAGAACAGGAGGCCAUGUUUUUGCUGGAACUGGUGAUAUGGUCGCCACCGGAGCACGGUCGUCGUGCACUGGAGUUGCGAGUGUCGCCAUCGAAGCUGCAAGCCUGCAACCACGGGCACACGCUGAUGCAUCCACAGAGGCGAGAAAACGCAUGAGGUGAUCGACCCCGGUGAGGGCGGUGGUCGGCGGCGAUGAGCAGGAUGCCGGUGAGGGCGGCGGCGACGAGCAGGACGCCAGUGAGGGCGGGCGGCAGGCGGCGCAGUGCUGCGACCAGAGGCGGCGGCGUGCAAUCGAGGACAUGCACGAGAUGCGGGACCAGCGAGAGGAAGGAGAAGCUUGGGGCAAACCGUUUUUUUGCCCAAUCCAAUGGCCCACCUGGAUCGCAUCCGACGGAUCACGCUCGACCGGCCGAAACCGUUGGGCCGGUGCGCCGACGCGUAUUAGUGGCCAAUCCCAAACGGUAGAAAACCAGUUUCGGGGAGUCGGGUUUUUUUUUUUUGCGGGAUGAGUUUAACGAGUUACAAAUUCAUCAGGCAGAACAUAUAUGCAAAAUGGUACUGAAUAAUUCGAAAAAUCAUCCCACCCGAGAAUUUGAUCAGUGACAUAAAAGAACGCUUCACAAACGAACAACAAACAAAUACUUCUACUUUUGACCCCCUAUUCUUCUCCUAUUUUUAAACUUAAUUCACAUGGCGAGUGGGAAUAUUUUCAAGUUUCUGGUCUUUUUGAGAAUCAAAACCUCUAUUGGGUUUUCGCUACCAGGAGAAGGGAAUGGCCAUGUUUGAUGGGGGCUGAUUUCUAUUUCUAAAUAUACAAACAAGUAGUGCUUGAUGGCGCGCCCAUGCGAGAUCAUGCUCAGUCCUGAGAACCCCUCUGCAUUGUUCGCCACCGCGUGCUCACCAGCAUCCAUCGACGGUGGCGCGGCACCUACGAGACAAGAUGAUCGAAGCCAGCCACCUUUGUUCUGGUGGAGUUCGCCCUGGGGCCUUUGAAAUCCCAGAGCCGGCCCUGGAACCAGGGCUGAUUCCUAUUUCUAAAUAUACAAACAGGUAGUGCUUGACGGCACACCCACCCGAGCUCGUGCUCAGCCCUGAGAACCCCUCUGCAUUGUUCGCCACCGCAUGCUCAGCGGCAGAGUCCAUCAACGGUGGCGCGGCACCUAUGGGCAAGAUGACCGAAUCCAGCCCAAGUCUGUUCAGCCAAUUGGUGGAUUCCUAUUUCUAAAUAUACAAACAGAUAGUGCUUGACUGCGCGCCGACGCGAGCUCGUGCUCAGCCCUGAGAACCCCUCUGCAUUGUUCGCCACCGCGUGCUUAGCGGCAGAGAACAUCGACGGUGGUGGGGCAAGAUGGCCAAAUCCAAUCAACUCUGUUCAACCAAUUGGUGGAGUUNNNNNNNNNNUGUGCGCCGACGCGAGCUCGUGCUCAGCCCUGAGAACCCCUCUGCAUUGUUCGCCACCGCGUGCUUAGCGGCAGAGAACAUCGACGGUGGUGGGGCAAGAUGGCCAAAUCCAAUCAACUCUGUUCAACCAAUUGGUGGAGUUCGCCCUAGGGCCUUUGAAAUCCCAGAGCCGGCCCUGGAACCAGGGCUGAUUCCUAUUUCUAAAUAUACAAACAGGUAGUGCUUGACGGCACACCCACCCGAGCUCGUGCUCAGCCCUGAGAACCCCUCUGCAUUGUUCGCCACCGCAUGCUCAGCGGCAGAGUCCAUCAACGGUGGCGCGGCACCUAUGGGGCAAGAUGACCGAAUCCAGCCCAAGUCUGUUCAGCCAAUUGGUGGAUUCCUAUUUCUAAAUAUACAAACAGAUAGUGCUUGACUGCGCGCCGACGCGAGCUCGUGCUCAGCCCUGAGAACCCCUCUGCAUUGUUCGCCACCGCGUGCUUAGCGGCAGAGAACAUCGACGGUGGUGGGGCAAGAUGGCCAAAUCCAAUCAACUCUGUUCAACCAAUUGGUGGAGUUCGUCCUAGGGCCUUUGAAAUCCCAGAGCCGGCCCUGAAACCAGGGCUGAUUCCUAUUUCUAAAUAUACAAACAGGUAGUGCUUGACGGCACACCCACCCGAGCUCGUGCUCAGCCCUGAGAACCCCUCUGCAUUGUUCGCCACCGCAUGCUCAGCGGCAGAGUCCAUCAACGGUGGCGCGGCACCUAUGGGGCAAGAUGACCGAAUCCAGCCCAAGUCUGUUCAGCCAAUUGGUGGAUUCCUAUUUCUAAAUAUACAAACAGAUAGUGCUUGACUGCGCGCCGACGCGAGCUCGUGCUCAGCCCUGAGAACCCCUCUGCAUUGUUCGCCACCGCGUGCUUAGCGGCAGAGAACAUCGACGGUGGUGGGGCAAGAUGGCCAAAUCCAAUCAACUCUGUUCAACCAAUUGGUGGAGUUUGUCCUAGGGCCUUUGAAAUCCCAGAGCCGGCCCUGAAACCAGGGCUGAUUCCUAUUUCUAAAUAUACAAACAGGUAGUGCUUGACGGCACACCCACCCGAGCUCGUGCUCAGCCCUGAGAACCCCUCUGCAUUGUUCGCCACCGCGUGCUUAGCGGCAGAGAACAUCGACGGUGGCGCGGCACCUAUGGGGCAAGAUGACCGAAUCCAGCCCAAGUCUGUUCAGCCAAUUGGUGGAUUCCUAUUUCUAAAUAUACAAACAGAUAGUGCUUGACUGUGCGCCGACGCGAGCUCGUGCUCAGCCCUGAGAACCCCUCUGCAUUGUUCGCCACCGCGUGCUUAGCGGCAGAGAACAUCGACGGUGGUGGGGCAAGAUGGCCAAAUCCAAUCAACUCUGUUCAACCAAUUGGUGGAGUUCGCCCUAGGGCCUUUGAAAUCCCAGAGCCGGCCCUGGAACCAGGGCUGAUUCCUAUUUCUAAAUAUACAAACAGGUAGUGCUUGACGGCACACCCACCCGAGCUCGUGCUCAGCCCUGAGAACCCCUCUGCAUUGUUCGCCACCGCAUGCUCAGCGGCAGAGUCCAUCAACGGUGGCGCGGCACCUAUGGGGCAAGAUGACCGAAUCCAGCCCAAGUCUGUUCAGCCAAUUGGUGGAUUCCUAUUUCUAAAUAUACAAACAGAUAGUGCUUGACUGCGCGCCGACGCGAGCUCGUGCUCAGCCCUGAGAACCCCUCUGCAUUGUUCGCCACCGCGUGCUUAGCGACAGAGAACAUCGACGGUGGUGGGGCAAGAUGGCCAAAUCCAAUCAACUCUGUUCAACCAAUUGGUGGAGUUCGCCCUAGGGCCUUUGAAAUCCCAGAGCCGGCCCUGGAACCAGGACUGAUUCCUAUUUCUAAAUAUACAAACAAGUAGUGCUUGACGGCACGUCCACGCCAGCUGGGCUCAGCCCUGAGAAUUGUUCGCCACCACGUGCUCAGCAGCAGAGUCCAUCGACGGUGGCGCGGCACCUGUGGGGCAAGAUGAUACGUCUUGUCCGCCGACCUCCACGUGCGUGCCCUUCCGGCCUCUACGUUGUGGCCGGAGCGCGCGCUUGGUCGGAGGACCAACUUGGCCGCCAAUACCGCGGCUUGAUCUGCCAAAGACGGCGAGGAGGUGCGCGAAAUUUUUCACUAGCAGAGGGGAUCAAGGGCUAAUCUGCAUAAGGUCCCUGAUAAUAUUUUCCAGGCCAGCCUUUCCAUACAAAAAGGCGUAAAAAGGGGGCAAAAACCACAUAACUUAAGGUUGAGCCAACUGCUCUACUCCUGCCCAAAAACAGUUAAAAGCGAGGCUGAUAAGGAUUCAAGAUGCAAAACAACAUAGUAUGACGGAUGAAAAGAUACAGCUGCAAAUAACCAGCAGGUAACGAAUAUCAGUGCAUCCCAAUAAUAAUUUUAAGUACAUAGUUUGACCGUGUCUUGCAUACCAGAGCAAAACAUAACAGUAUACGAAGGAAAACACGGGUAAGUGAAGGGCACAACAACGAGAAUUUAGCUAUAUAAGUCGUCAUCUUCAGCUGCUGCGGCAGCGGAUGCAAAAGGGUCGGCGGCAGCAGAAGAGGCGGCGCCCGCGGCCGGCUGAUCAGGGAACCGGAACUCGCUGCCGAAACCACGAGACUGCUGCAGAGUCUGGGCAAAGGCCUGGUACUUGCGGAUGUCGGCAUCGCUCACACUCCUGCGUGCAUACUUCAUCGACUCCUCGAAGUGAGCAGCCCUGAUCUCAGCGACCUCAUCCACCUCAUCCUCCUCCAUGGCUUCAGGGUUGUCCUUCCUCCUCCUCUCCCUCUCGAUGUCCUGGAAGGAUGAGUUUCAUUAGACAACGAGUAUAAAAACAGAUGGCAGAAAACUAAAUACUGCAGGUCAAUCCACAGAAAAUUGCUGGUACCUUCUCGAUGUUCUCCCUGAUGGCGUAUUUGCAAGCACGCUGGCAAAUUUCCGUGAUAUCAGCACCGCUGAACCCUUGGGUGUACUUGGCCAGAGCACUCAGAUCAAUAUCCUUGGCCAGAGGAGACUUCCUGAGGCAAGCUUUGAAGAUCUGGUGCCUCGACUCGACAUCAGGAAGAGGGAUGUAGAUAAGCUGAUCAAGACGCCCUGGCCUAAGCAGGGCAGGGUCGAUGAUGUCUGGCCUGUUGGUAGCACCAAUGAUGAAGACAGUUUUCUUGGCGUUCAUGCCAUCCAUCUCAGUCAGCAGUUGGUUCAGCACUCUAUCAGCUGCACCUCCAGCAUCGCCGACGCUGCUUCCUCUCUGUAAUAUCAUGGUUAAGAGUUAUCAGCCAUUAAGAAAUACAACAGUGGAACAUAGUAACAAGGAGGGGGGAGAGGCUGACCUGGGUGGCAAUAGAGUCAAGCUCAUCAAAGAAGAGGACACAUGGUGCUGACCCUCUAGCCUUGUCAAAGAUCUCACGCACAUUAGCCUCGCUCUCACCAAACCACAUGGUCAGCAGCUCAGGUCCCUUGAUACUGAUGAAGUUAGCCUGGCACUCAUUUGCAAUUGCCUUGGCCAACAAGGUUUUACCACAGCCAGGAGGACCAUAGAACAGAACACCUUUGGAAGGAGACAUGCCAAACUUCUCGAAUUUCUCUGGAUGCUCCACAGGGUAUUGGACAGUCUGCAACAAUUUCAUAUAUAUGUUAUACACAAGUUACAGCUAGAACAGAGCAAAUUUAAGAACAUUUGAUAAACUAAGGAGCAGUAAUAUACCUCCUGCAAUUCCCGCUUGACAUUCUCCAGACCACCAAUAUCUUCCCAAGAGACAUUGGGAACUUCAACAACCUGAUUUACAAAAGAUAAAUAUAAGGUAAGACCUUCAAAACAUGUUCAAACAACAAUUAUAUACAUAUAAAAUCGACAUAGGACAUAGUGCCAAGUACUCACAGUUUCACGGAGAGCAGAUGGGUUGCUUGUCGUUAGUGCAGUCUUGAAAUGGUCGUUUGUCACAGCCAUAGAAUUCAGUAUCUCAGCAUCUAUGGUCUCAUCCUCAAGAUCUAUAAUAUCCAUCUUCUCACGAAUGCACUGAAGAGCAGCCUCAGUACAAAGAGCAGCAAGAUCAGCACCAACAUACCCAUGGGUGUCCCGUGAAAUGUGUUCCAGUUCAACCUGCAAUACAAUUAGAAAGCACAAUGAUGAACAGGUUCGAUCAAACGAGAAAAUCAUGAGUUAAAAGAUCACUCACAUCUUCAGCUAACUUCAUGUUUUUGGUGUGAAUCCUGAGAACUUCAAGACGGCCAACUUCAUCAGGGACUCCAAUGUCAAUC
rnacentral:lncRNA from 1 species